AAAUAACAAAAAACUAAUAUCACUUUUAUGUCUGGAAUGUAGGACCCUGAAGGGGCCAAUGUGGCGCCUCACUGUGCCAUUGAGGCCUGGUAUGAGAGUGAUGGCCACUGUGACGUCUGUGCCACCAACCUGAGGCAGCUGAAGCAGAAGGCUUUGCACACAAUACUCACCCAGGAGCAGGCCAUCUGGGCCCGUGAUUCUUCUCCCUUCCUCUCCUCCCCACGCCCCCGAAACGAGCCCCAGGCCCUAACACCCUUCCCAGGACCUCCAGUCCACACUCCAGCCCUGCCAAGCCCGCGCUGAAGUCCAGCGGUCAGGGGAAGGACGCGAGUACGGAGGGGCAGCCUUGUCUGGAGGCUCAGUGGUCUGGGUCAGCUCUCCGAAGCAAUGGAGCCUCUCUGCAUCGCCACCAGAUGUCCCAGUCCACAGUUGCCACCCCUGGAGCCCCAACCCCCACAGCCACCUCUACUGCUGUAUCCUUCUUUGUCAGGUAAAUAACGGCACGCCCAAGGGGGGUGGGGUGCUUCAUAGCAGUUUCACGCACCCACCUUCUCCAUUAGAGUAGUCCCCUAGGAUGCUAGGUUAGCUAGGAAAAAAACAAAAACAAUCCAAUAUCUACACAGCCCAAAGAGAUGCAUGUGUUUUUGUCUUGCCCUUUCUGAUGGCUGUGAGAAGCCUGAUAAAUAGUCAGUUUUUGCUGGAGAAAUGCAGCAGAUGUAGCUUAUGUAUGACAAGGACAAAUAUAGGACAUCCUUUCUAUAUUUAUUUGUAACCUAGGCAGAAGGAGAAAGCUAUGAAAUACUGGGACCUGCUAACUUUGGGAAUAAGUCAUUAAAAGUUGAAAAUGCAAAUGUAACCCGUAUGGUUUGCCAUCAUCUGUUGAGCAGCAAAAUGUGCAAUUUUCCAGGCACUGAAUUAGCCCUGGUAGCAUCCUUAAUCAGCUGUGUUCACACCCCAUGAGGCUUCCAGACAGGAGGUGCAAGUCUCCUAAGUGACAUGUGAAAAUGAGAGAGGCUUUCAUGCUCUGCCGUUGACUUUCCUGUCAUAAUGGAAGACAAGAGCAGACAAAAGAUUUCUUGACACUUGGGAAAGACUGCCAUGUCGCUGACUGAACACAAAGGCUUUAAUCAGCUUCUAGAGACAGACACAGUGCAAGAAUGUGACUGUUGAUCUUAGUUUUUGAAUCAAGAUAUUCCAUGUUUUUGAACUUGAAAAAGGAUCUCAUAGUCCACUGCACUACUGAGUCCGAGCCUGUUUUUCACUCUCUUAGGUAAUCUGCCAUGCCUUGAUAUUUUAGUUUAUUUCACCUAACUAAAAACAUUGAGGCAAAAGUGGCAUGUAUGAUUAUAUUCUAGAAUACCUCAGCAAUAAUAACAUGGGAAUGAAAGGAAUGUAGUAAAAAAAGAUUGAAUUUAAAUCAAAUCUAAACAAACCCUUCCAAAAACAUACUUUCAGAGGUGCUCAGACUUUGUACAAAAAAUACAUUGUAAAGAUUUUGGAGCAAGGCUUUUGAACUCUGAACUUUGUAAACAUAAGUGUUAGUUUUACAAAGGUGAGUUUAGCAU
rnacentral:lncRNA from 1 species